UACAGAGGUCCCGAGCGUUGUUCGGAUUCAUUGGGCGUAAAGAGCUCGUAGGCGGUCUGUUACGUCUGCUGUGAAAACCCGGGGCUUAACCCUGGGCUUGCAGUGGAUACGGGCAGACUAGAGGCAGGUAGGGGAGAAUGGAAUUCCCGGUGUAGCGGUGAAAUGCGCAGAUAUCAGGAGGAACACCGGUGGCGAAGGCGGCAUCCUGGACCAACACUGACGCUGAGGAGCGAAAGCCAGGGGAGCAAACGGGG
rnacentral:rRNA from 1 species